UACGUAGGGUGCAAGCGUUGUCCGGAAUUAUUGGGCGUAAAGAGCUCGUAGGCGGUUUGUCGCGUCUGCUGUGAAAACUCGGGGCUUAACCCCGGGCCUGCAGUGGGUACGGGCAGACUAGAGUGCGGUAGGGGAGACUGGAAUUCCUGGUGUAGCGGUGGAAUGCGCAGAUAUCAGGAGGAACACCGGUGGCGAAGGCGGGUCUCCGGGCAGUAACUGACGCUGAGGAGCGAAAGCGUGGGGAGCGAACAGG
rnacentral:rRNA from 1 species